rnacentral:rRNA from 1 species
AGUGAACGCUGGCGGCAGGCCUAACACAUGCAAGUCGAACGGCAGCACAGAGGAGCUUGCUCCUUGGGUGGCGAGUGGCGGACGGGUGAGGAAUACAUCGGAAUCUGCCUAUUUGUGGGGGAUAACGUAGGGAAACUUACGCUAAUACCGCAUACGACCUACGGGUGAAAGCGGAGGACCUUCGGGCUUCGCGCAGAUAGAUGAGCCGAUGUCGGAUUAGCUAGUUGGCGGGGUAAAGGCCCACCAAGGCGACGAUCCGUAGCUGGUCUGGGAGGAGUGUCGGCCAAACUGGAACUGGGACACGGUCCAGACUCCUACGGGAGGCAGCAGUGGGGAAUAUUGGACAAGGGGCGAAAGCCUGAUCCAGCCAUGCCGCGUGGGUGAAGAAGGCCUUCGGGUUGUAAAGCCCUUUUGUUGGGAAAGAAAAGCAGCCGGUUAAUACCCGGUUGUUCUGACGGUACCCAAAGGAUAAGCACCGGCUAACUUCGUGCCAGCAGCCGCCGUAA